AAAUUGAAGAGUUUGAUCAUGGCUCAGAUUGAACGCUGGCGGCAGGCCUAACACAUGCAAGUCGAACGGUAACAGGAAUCAGCUUGCUGAUUUGCUGACGAGUGGCGGACGGGUGAGUAAUGUCUGGGAAACUGCCUGAUGGAGGGGGAUAACUACUGGAAACGGUAGCUAAUACCGCAUAAUGUCGCAAGACCAAAGAGGGGGACCUUCGGGCCUCUUGCCAUCGGAUGUGCCCAGAUGGGAUUAGCUAGUAGGUGGGGUAACGGCUCACCUAGGCGAC
rnacentral:rRNA from 1 species